UACGUAGGGGGCAAGCGUUGUCCGGAUUUAUUGGGCGUAAAGAGCGUGUAGGCGGCCAGGCAGGUCAGCUGUGAAAACUCGAGGCUCAACCUCGAGACGUCGGUUGAAACCGCUUGGCUAGAGUCCGGAAGAGGAGACUGGAAUUCCCGGUGUAGCGGUGAAAUGCGCAGAUAUCGGGAAGAACACCCGUGGCGAAGGCGGGUCUCUGGGGCGGUACUGACGCUGAGACGCGAAAGCGUGGGGAG
rnacentral:rRNA from 1 species